rnacentral:snRNA from 1 species
CGUGCUCCGGGCGUCGGCC